rnacentral:rRNA from 1 species
UCGCCUGUUUUAUCAAAAACAUGUCCUUUUGAUAAUAAUUUAAGGUCUGACCUGCCCACUGACGAAAGUUGAAGGGCCGCGGUAUUUUGACCGUGCAAAGGUAGCAUAAUCAUUAGUCUCUUAAUUGGAGGCUGGAAUGAAUGGUUGGACGAGGCAUAGACUGUCUCACUGUGAAUGAAAUUAGAAUUUAACUUUUGAGUGAAAAGGCUUAAAUGAAUUUAGAGGACGAGAAGACCCUAUAGAUCUUUAUAUUAAUGAUGUUUACAAUAAUUUGGAUGUUUGUGAUUUGUAAUUAUGAUUAAUAUUACGUUGGGGUGAUGAGAAGAUAGAAAAAACUCUUUUUAGAUGAGGACACUGGUUUGUGAAUUUUUGAUCCAUUAUUAGUGAUUAUAAGACUAAGUUACCUUAGGGAUAACAGCGUAAUCUUUUUUGAGAGUUCUUAUCGACAAAAAGGGUUGCGACCUCGAUGUUGGAUUAAGGUAAAAGUUGGGUGCAGAAGCUUAAAUUUUUAGGUCUGUUCGACCUUUAAAUCCUUACAUGAUCUGAUUCCAAACCGGAGA